UAAUUGUGAAGUUGUCCUUGAAAAAAAAUAGAUUUGUUUUUAAAUAUAAAUGAGCUUGAUCGUCAACGGCUCAUGGUAAGUGAAAACAAGUUUUCUGUUAAUAAAAUAAUCUUUCAAAAGGACUUCCGAUCAUGAGUAAUAAUUAGAGUUGGUAGAAUUAUUCUUGUUUUAAAUAUUUAUAUCCACGUGUUUAUGGUGCCUUAGUGGUGAAUGUUGCAUUAGUUGUGAAUAUGUGUGCCUUAGUGGUGAGUGAGUGCAUUUGUUGUGGAUUUGUUGCCUUAGUGGUGAAUGUUUGCAUUAGUUGUGGUUGUGUGCCUGUGUGGUGGUUUUGAGUAUUAGAAUAGGAGCCUUCGUGGUGGACCGGGAACCAAGCCUUGGCCGGGUGAUUGGUUACGGUCAGUUUUAGAGCUCUAGUCUGUCGGUACUUCAUGGGGGAUGACUAUGUGUUGACGAACCUAUGAGUACGUGUUUGUCUAGUUACUUAUGAGGGAUGACUAUACGUUGACGAACUCAUAAGUAAGGGUUGAGAAAUGAUUGUGUGGUGUUAUUAUUUAAAUUUCUUGUUUUAAGAAUCUCCUGAACUAUGUUUAAUGCAGGAGAUUCUUUAGUUUUAUUUGUGUGAUUUUUAGUGAAAUCCUGAACUACGCUUUUUGCAGAAUUUCAUUAUGAUUUGUUUGGUUUUGAAUUGUUGCGUUUUCUUAAUUUCUUCUUUUCAUUUCUUUUGAUGGUAAGUGUUUUCCUGAAUUCAUUCUAAUGCAUGAACUCCCAGUUUUAUUCAUGUGUUGUUGGAUUGAGUCAUUUUUGUAGAUUUACUCAUAUGAGCUUUUAAAGCUUACCGGGUUUGUUGUUUACAACCCGGUGCACCAAUCCAUGGUGUAGAGGUUGUUUUUGCAGGUCAGGUUUAGCAGAGUUGAGCCUGCGGCAGAUAGGCAUAGUUCAUUUUGUUUACUUUCUAAUUUGCAGUGAAUUUGAGGGAGGUUUUAUUUGGUUCAAAUUAUUUUCCACAAGUUGUAAAAAUAAAUUGUUGUAUUGAUUGUUUUGCUUUUUGGUUAUCAUGCCUUGAAUUUGAAAAUUUUUUUAUUUAUCCAAAAUUCGGGGUGUGACAUUCAGGCUGGUUCGUUCAAGGAUCACCCUGAGUUAAUGGAUAUAGUCAGUCAGUUCUCUCGAUCUGAUGGGAAGAUCUAUUCGAAGGAGCUGGUGAGGUAUUUGGUGGAUCCUCAAACGGUAGCCGACGACAAAUUCAAGCGAGUGUUUGUUUGGUUCACACUGACCACUAUCCUCAGGCCCACUGCCUCACUCUCCCUUCCGAAGAAGUGGUUGGUACUCCUCAAGGACACUAGCCGCAUCUCAUCCAUGAACUGGGCUGCUUACUCUUUCCUGUGGUUGAUGAAUGGAAUC
rnacentral:lncRNA from 1 species